rnacentral:misc_RNA from 1 species
UACGGAGGGGGUUAGCGUUGUUCGGAAUUACUGGGCGUAAAGCGUACGUAGGCGGAUCAGAAAGUUGGGGGUGAAAUCCCAGGGCUCAACCCUGGAACUGCCUCCAAAACUCCUGGUCUUGAGUUCGAGAGAGGUGAGUGGAAUUCCGAGUGUAGAGGUGAAAUUCGUAGAUAUUCGGAGGAACACCAGUGGCGAAGGCGGCUCACUGGCUCGAUACUGACGCUGAGGUACGAAAGUGUGGGGAGCAAACAGG